CAUACUCGGAGUAAAUUAAAUGACUAAAAAGAGAUCAAAACCUCUGUUUUUUCUUUCAUAUCCAGCAAUAAUGCAUCUUCAGUUCCAUCAUCGUCUCAAAGGCAAGCAUCACUGCAAGAGCACAGUCGUCUCUUUCGGUAUACUUCACGGGCCAUGCACUUGCAACCACCCAA